GACGAACGCUGGCGGCGUGCUUAACACAUGCAAGUCGAGCGGAGUGGCGAACGGGUGAGUAUCACGUGGGUGACCUGCCCUGCACUUCGGGAUAAGCCUGGGAAACUGGGUCUUAUACCGGAUAGUGUGGGAUGGGCCCGCGGCCUAUCAGCUUGUUGGUGGGGUACUGGCCUACUAGGGCGGCGACGGGUAGCCGGCCUGGGAGGUGUGUCGGCCACAUUGGGACUGAGACACGGCCCAGACUCCUACGGGAGGCAGCAGUGGGGAAUAUUGCACAAUGGGCGGAAGCCUGAUGCAGCGACGCCGCGUGGGGGAUGACGGCCUUCGGGUUGUAAACUCCUUUCACCAUCGACGCGGUAGAUGGAGAAGAAGCACCGGCUAACUACGUGCCAGCAGCCGCGGUAAUAC
rnacentral:rRNA from 1 species